GCCCGGCGCGGUGGCACGUGCCUGUAGUCCCAGCUACUUGGGAGGCUGAGGUGGGAGGAUUGCUUGAGCCCAGGAGUUCUGGGCUGUAGUGCGCUAUGCCGAUCGGGUGUCUGCACUAAGUUCGGCAUCAAUAUGGUGACCUCCUGGGAGCGGGGGACCACCAGGUUGCCUAAGGAGGGGUGAACCGGCCCAGGUCGGAAACAGAGCAGGUAAAAACUCCCGUGCUGAUCAGUAGUAGGAUGGUGUCUGUGAAUAGCCACUGCAUUCUAGCCUGGGCAACAUAGCAAGACCCUGUCUCU
rnacentral:SRP_RNA from 1 species